CGUUAGGUCAUGAGGCCAUAGUCGUGUGUCAUUUGUUAUUUUAGGUUUCAGAAGGGCCCUAUCGUGAACGCCCCGCUUUACGGUAGAUAUGUGCCCUCGAUGUGCACUUUUGCUGAGCCUGUUACGAAAGUUGCGGACUCGUAGGAAGACAGCAAGCGUUUAGGGUGCCAUUUGUGAGAGAGUACUUAUUUAAUAAGUUCUUUGUGACCGCUAAAAAAAGUAUGUUAAAUGUUCAAUGCUGUCAUUACCAUGUGACAUACCAGUAUCAGUUACUGUACAUUGAAUCAGUGCCAUUCAUACAUUUUUUGCUCUCUUGGGAAGCAUGCGAUUUCUAAUGCAGACUGUAACAAUGACUAAGCCCGGCACUUGUAAAAUGUUAAAUGUGUACUUCACAUUUUGUCCAAGUUUUAUUUCCACUGGACAACACAGCAGAGAAAGAAAGGACAGAGUUGAUGAGAUAAAUACUCAUAAAUGGUUUGGACAAAUGAAUUCAUGAGAAACAAUGCAGUCUGAGCACAAAAGACUCCAGUUACAAGGUAGCUCAUUCAAGGUCGGGCUAGGGAUGAAUCCAUAAAACUGAUACCGCUGUCUGCCUACAGUAAAGGCAAUGACUAACUACACAAUGAUGAGCAACACUUCACACUUUUUAACAGUUUAAAUUAAUUUUCAGUGAACUUGGACAGAAUAUGUGGUCAAAUAUUUAGAAAAUCAAACAUAUCAACCCUCUCAUUAUUCUUUUGCCAUCCUUAAAAACAUCAGAGAUGCAUUUAAAAUGUUAUAUUCUCACAAAUCCCGAUUUUUUUCUUGAUGCCAAUAGGAAAUAUAUGGUUAAUAUGGCUCAAUUUUAGUUAGAAGAGUUGGAUUUCAUAGGAUGUGGUGUGUUUGGUGUGUGUUUGUGUGUGAAAUCCCUUCAGUCAGACCGUAUCAUUUGACCAGGCUAAUCUCCUCUUCUUACAGCUCAUUACAACUGUGUUUGUCCAAAACAAUGGCCCAAAGUAAUGAAAAAAGCCGCUGCGAGGCUGAGCUGAUUGGAAGGAGGAAAAUCAAUUUCUGAUGACAAUCCUGUGUGCUGCACUGAAAGGCAGAGAGUUCCUGAGUCCUGGGAAAGUUGCUGUUGGAGACGGAGGCUAAUCUCGGCAGAAUGAAUCAUUCACACUCUUAUUUGGACAUCUGUGUUAACAUCCCCCCCAUUCCUCCCCUCCCUAAUAAACUCUCCCCGACUGGUGAUGGUUUCAUUAGAAGUUUUUGCAGGUGGUUGAAAGUUUGGUGGGACAGGAAUAUGACGCCAACUGGACUAAAUUUUCGCCUGUGUCAACAAACGCAUGCAACUUUAUUUUUAACCAUAAUAUGAUUUAAAAAAUAUUGUAUGAGAUAUUUUAUAUAUGUAUAAUAAGUUAUACAUAUAUUAGGGUCACAGGAUCUGAUUUAAAUGUCAGUUUUGAACAGCUGAAUGCAUUCGUGUCCAUAUAAGUUCUGUAACCAUGGUGAUGCUGAACUUGACCGUGGCAAAGGAAAGACACCGCAAACAGUGUGCACAAAACAAUGACUUGAAAGCACAGAAUGUCAGAUCAAUGGAAAGUUAAUUAAUGAAGUGAGCAGAACUGCCAGAUGCUCUUGAUUCCUAUGGAGCACAUGUUCUUCAUACUGCUGCAAGACACAAAGAAAGGCUUCUUUUCAUGAUUCUC